UCUUACCAUGCAGUCGAACGAUGAAGCCCUUCGGGGUGGAUUAGUGGCGAACGGGUGAGUAACACGUGGGCAAUCUGCCCUGCACUCUGGGACAAGCCCUGGAAACGGGGUCUAAUACCGGAUAUGACUGUCCGCCGCAUGGUGGAUGGUGUAAAGCUCCGGCGGUGCAGGAUGAGCCCGCGGCCUAUCAGCUUGUUGGUGAGGUAGUGGCUCACCAAGGCGACGACGGGUAGCCGGCCUGAGAGGGCGACCGGCCACACUGGGACUGAGACACGGCCCAGACUCCUACGGGAGGCAGCAGUGGGGAAUAUUGCACAAUGGGCGAAAGCCUGAUGCAGCGACGCCGCGUGAGGGAUGACGGCCUUCGGGUUGUAAACCUCUUUCAGCAGGGAAGAAGCGAGAGUGACGGUACCUGCAGAAGAAGCGCCGGCUAACUACGUGCCAGCAGCCGCGGUAAUACGUAGGGCGCAAGCGUUGUCCGGAAUUAUUGGGCGUAAAGAGCUCGUAGGCGGCUUGUCACGUCGGUUGUGAAAGCCCGGGGCUUAACCCCGGGUCUGCAGUCGAUACGGGCAGGCUAGAGUUCGGUAGGGGAGAUCGGAAUUCCUGGUGUAGCGGUGAAAUGCGCAGAUAUCAGGAGGAACACCGGUGGCGAAGGCGGAUCUCUGGGCCGAUACUGACGCUGAGGAGCGAAAGCGUGGAG
rnacentral:rRNA from 1 species